rnacentral:lncRNA from 1 species
GAACUGGUGUGAGUGUAGGGUACAUAUUUUUGCACUGACAUGCUUUUCCAUGGGUUAUCCUCAAAUGUUCUGCACCUUGUAGACAGUCCUUUAGUGCAAAUCUGGAGAUAAAGGCCGUAUAUUCCAGGAACAUCCUGAGGAAUCAAGGCAGGAGCCACCAGAACCUUGGCUUGUACAAACAUUAUUGCAAACUGAGAUGCUUUGGAUGAAACAAAUGUGCUGUUUCCGAGUCCACGAGGGCAUAAUAGGAACCUGCAGCAAAGACCAGGAAUGCCUUGGCACUUUCUGACCCAGGA